AUUGAACGCUGGCGGCAGGCCUAACACAUGCAAGUCGAACGAGUGGCGGACUGGUGAGUAAUGUCUUGGAAACUGCCUGAUGGAGGGGGAUAACUACUGGAAACGGUAGCUAAUACCGCAUACCAUCGGAUGUGCCAGGUGGGAUUAGCUUGUUGGUGGGGUAACGGCUCACAAAGGCGACGAUGCCUAGCUGGGCUGAGAGGAUGACCAGCCACACUGGAACUGAGACACGGGCCAGACUCCUACGGGAGGCAGCAGUGGGGAAUAUUGCACAAUGGGCGCAAGCCUGAUGCAGCCAUGCCGCGUGUAUGAAGAAGGCCUUCGGGUUGUAAAGUACUUUCAGCGGGGAGGCGUUACCCGCAGAAGAAGCAACGGCUAACUCCGUGCCAGCCGCCGCGGUAAUUC
rnacentral:rRNA from 1 species